UCGGUCCUCUCGCAACGAUACGCUGUAAACCCCGUCAGGCCCGGAAGGGAGCAGCGGCAGCAGCUUAUUCGUGUGCCGGGAUGUGGCUGG
rnacentral:SRP_RNA from 1 species